rnacentral:tRNA from 2 species
GGAGGGAUGGCUGAGUGGUUUAAAGCGGCGGUCUUGAAAACCGUUGUAGGGCGACCUACCGGGGGUUCGAAUCCCUCUCCCUCCGCCA